rnacentral:rRNA from 1 species
CCUACGUGAGGCAGCAGUGGGGAAUAUUGGGCAAUGGGCGCAAGCCUGACCCAGCAACGCCGCGUGAAGGAAGAAGGCAUUCGGGUUGUAAACUUCUUUUGUCAGGGACGAAGCAAGUGACGGUACCUGACGAAUAAGCCACGGCUAACUACGCGCCAGCAGCCGCGGUAAUACGUAGGUGGCAAGCGUUAUCCGGAUUUAAUGGGUGUAAAGGGCGUGUAGGCGGGACUGCAAGUCAGAUGUGAAAACCACGGGCUCAACCUGUGGCCUGCAUUUGAAACUGUAGUGCUGGAGUACUGGAGAGGCAGGCGGAAUUCCUGGUGUAGCGGUGAAAGGCGUAGAUAUUAGGAGGAACACCAGUGGCGAAGGCGGUCUGCUGGACAGCAACUGACGCUGAGGCGCAAAAGCGUGGGGAGCAAACAGGAUUAGAUACCCCUGUAGUC